rnacentral:rRNA from 1 species
UACGUGCCAGCAGCCGCGGUAAUACGUAGGUCCCGAGCGUUGUCCGGAUUUAUUGGGCGUAAAGCGAGCGCAGGCGGUUUGAUAAGUCUGAAGUUAAAGGCUGUGGCUCAACCAUAGUUCGCUUUGGAAACUGUCAAACUUGAGUGCAGAAGGGGAGAGUGGAAUUCCAUGUGUAGCGGUGAAAUGCGUAGAUAUAUGGAGGAACACCGGUGGCGAAAGCGGCUCUCUGGUCUGUAACUGACGCUGAGGCUCGAAAGCGUGGGGAGCGAACAGGAUUAGAUACCCUGGUAGUCCACGCCGUAAACGAUGAGUGCUAGGUGUUGGAUCCUUUCCGGGAUUCAGUGCCGCAGCUAACGCAUUAAGCACUCCGCCUGGGGAGUACGACCGCAAGGUUGAAACUCAAAGGAAUUGACGGGGGCCCGCACAAGCGGUGGAGCAUGUGGUUUAAUUCGAAGCGACGCGAAGAACCUUACCAGGUCUUGACAUCCCGAUGCUAUUUCUAGAGAUAGAAAGUUACUUCGGUACAUCGGUGACAGGUGGUGCAUGGUUGUCGUCAGCUCGUGUCGUGAGAUGUUGGGUUAAGUCCCGCAACGAGCGCAACCCCUAUUGUUAGUUGCCAUCAUUCAGUUGGGCACUCUAGCGAGACUGCCGGUAAUAAACCGGAGGAAGGUGGGGAUGACGUCAAAUCAUCAUGCCCCUUAUGACCUGGGCUACACACGUGCUACAAUGGUUGGUACAACGAGUUGCGAGUCGGUGACGGCGAGCUAAUCUCUUAAAGCCAAUCUCAGUUCGGAUUGUAGGCUGCAACUCGCCUACAUGAAGUCGGAAUCGCUAGUAAUCGCGGAUCAGCACGCCGCGGUGAAUACGUUCCCGGGCCUUGUACACACCGCCCGUCACACCACGAGAGUUUGUAACACCCGAAGUCGGUGAGGUAACCUUUUGGAGCCAGCCGCCUAAGGUGGGACAGAUGAUUGGGGUGAAGUCGUAACAAGGUAGCA